UACGGGGGGGGCAAGCGUUGUUCGGAAUUACUGGGCGUAAAGGGCUCGUAGGUGGCCAACUAAGUCAGACGUGAAAUCCCUCGGCUUAACCGGGGAACUGCGUCUGAUACUGGAUGGCUUGAGAUUGGGAGAGGGAUGCGGAAUUCCAGGUGUAGCGGUGAAAUGCGUAGAUAUCUGGAGGAACACCGGUGGCGAAGGCGGCAUCCUGGACCAACACUGACACUGAGGAGCGAAGGUAUGGGGAGCAAAUAGG
rnacentral:rRNA from 1 species